rnacentral:misc_RNA from 1 species
GCUUACAUAUUUCUGGAGAAGAGCAAAAGCCCAUGGAUUGGAACCAGAUAUAGCAGAAGAACGUUUGCAGUUCUGGAUCAACCACAACCACAACAAUCGAUCUUUCACAUCACAUGAUGCAGUUGAUGUUGAGAGGGGGCUAUUGGAGCUGAGAAAGUUAGGCAUUGAGAACCAAUUAUGGCAAGAGUCUCGCAGAGGGCUAGAGGUUGACUCCAAUUCUAGAACACCUGCUGAGUCUAAAUUUUGAUGAUCCAAAUUGAUAAUUUUUUCUUUCAAUUUCUGAAAACAUUAAAGAGAAAUGUCAUAAUUUCUUUACUAGACAGAAGGAUGAUGUUGGUAGUACAUUGAGAAUGGUUUUGGUCUUGUGAUUUUACAUGUAACUAUUUGAUUAUCACAUAUCAUCAGCUGGUUGAUAGGUUGAUAGACUGACUUCAAAGUGAUGAUUAUUAUUGAAAUUUUUCAUUCAUUUUUUAACCUAUUAUUCAU